rnacentral:rRNA from 1 species
CAAUCCCACGGGAGGCAGCAGUGGGGAAUAUUGCACAAUGGGGGAAACUCUGACCCAGCAACGCCGCGUGAAGGAUGAAGGUUUUCGGAUUGUAAACUUCUGUCGCAAGGGACGAAGAAUGACGGUACCUCGUAAGAAAGCCCCGGCUAACUACGUGCCAGCAGCCGCGGUAAUACGUAGGGGGCGAGCGUUGUCCGGAAUGACUGGGCGUAAAGGGAGUGUAGGCGGCAAUAUAAGUUAGAUGUGAAAUCCCGCGGCUCAACCGCGGAACUGCAUCUAAAACUAUAUAGCUGGAGUGCAGGAGG